CCCAGGUCAGGCGGGACUACCCGCUGAGUUUAAGCAU
rnacentral:rRNA from 1 species